rnacentral:piRNA from 1 species
ACUCGGGCGCACGCAUCACAUUG